AUUGAACGCUGGCGGCAUGCCUUACACAUGCAAGUCGAACGGUAACGGGUCCUUCGGGAUGCCGACGAGUGGCGAACGGGUGAGUAAUAUAUCGGAACGUGCCCAGUAGUGGGGGAUAACUGCUCGAAAGAGCAGCUAAUACCGCAUACGACCUGAGGGUGAAAGGGGGGGAUCGCGAGACCUCUCGCUAUUGGAGCGGCCGAUAUCAGAUUAGCUAGUUGGUGGGGUAAAGGCCUACCAAGGCAACGAUCUGUAGUUGGUCUGAGAGGACGACCAGCCACACUGGGACUGAGACACGGCCCAGACUCCUACGGGAGGCAGCAGUGGGGAAUUUUGGACAAUGGGCGCAAGCCUGAUCCAGCAAUGCCGCGUGCAGGAAGAAGGCCUUCGGGUUGUAAACUGCUUUUGUCAGGGAAGAAAUCUUCUGGGCUAAUACCCCGGGAGGAUGACGGUACCUGAAGAAUAAGCACCGGCUAACUACGUGCCAGCAGCCGCGGUAAUACGUAGGGUGCGAGCGUUAAUCGGAAUUACUGGGCGUAAAGCGUGCGCAGGCGGCUUUGCAAGACAGAUGUGAAAUCCCCGGGCUCAACCUGGGAACUGCAUUUGUGACUGCAAGGCUAGAGUACGGCAGAGGGGGAUGGAAUUCCGCGUGUAGCAGUGAAAUGCGUAGAUAUGCGGAGGAACACCAAUGGCGAAGGCAAUCCCCUGGGCCUGUACUGACGCUCAUGCACGAAAGCGUGGGGAGCAAACAGGAUUAGAUACCCUGGUAGUCCACGCCCUAAACGAUGUCAACUGGUUGUUGGACGGCUUGCUGUUCAGUAACGAGGCUAACGCGUGAAGUUGACCGCCUGGGGAGUACGGCCGCAAGGUUGAAACUCAAAGGAGUUGACGGGGACCCGCACAAGCGGUGGAUGAUGUGGUUUAAUUCGAUGCAACGCGAAAAACCUUACCUACCCUUGACAUGUCAAGAAUUCUGCAGAGAUGUGGAAGUGCUCGAAAGAGAACUUGAACACAGGUGCUGCAUGGCCGUCGUCAGCUCGUGUCGUGAGAUGUUGGGUUAAGUCCCGCAACGAGCGCAACCCUUGUCAUUAGUUGCUACGCAAGAGCACUCUAAUGAGACUGCCGGUGACAAACCGGAGGAAGGUGGGGAUGACGUCAGGUCCUCAUGGCCCUUAUGGGUAGGGCUACACACGUCAUACAAUGGCCGGUACAGAGGGCUGCCAACCCGCGAGGGGGAGCCAAUCCCAGAAAACCGGUCGUAGUCCGGAUCGUAGUCUGCAACUCGACUGCGUGAAGUCGGAAUCGCUAGUAAUCGCGGAUCAGCUUGCCGCGGUGAAUACGUUCCCGGGUCU
rnacentral:rRNA from 1 species